rnacentral:rRNA from 1 species
CCUACGGGAGGCAGCAGUGAGGAAUAUUGGUCAAUGGACGAGAGUCUGAACCAGCCAAGUAGCGUGAAGGAUGACUGCCCUAUGGGUUGUAAACUUCUUUUAUAAAGGACUAAAACGAGGCACGUGUGCCUUUUUGCAUGUACUUUAUGAAUAAGGAUCGGCUAACUCCGUGCCAGCAGCCGCGGUAAUACGGAGGAUACGAGCGUUAUCCGGAUUUAUUGGGUUUAAAGGGAGCGUAGAUGGGUUGUUAAGUCAGUUGUGAAAGUUUGCGGCUCAACCGUAAAAUUGCAAUUGAUACUGGCAGUCGUGAGUACAGUUGAGGUAGGCGGAAUUCGUGGUGUAGCGGUGAAAUGCUUAGAUAUCACGAAGAACCCCGAUUGCGAAGGCAGCUUACUAAACUGUGACUGACAUUGAUGCUCGAAAGUGUGGGUAUCAAACAGGAUUAGAUACCCCAGUAGUC